rnacentral:rRNA from 1 species
AGCAGUCGCCGCGGGAAUACGAAGGGGGCUAGCGUUGCUCGGAAUUACUGGGCGUAAAGGGCGCGUAGGCGGACAGUUCAGUCGGGGGUGAAAGCCCGGGGCUCAACCUCGGAAUUGCCUUCGAUACUGGCUGUCUUGAGUAUGAGAGAGGUGUGUGGAACUCCGAGUGUAGAGGUGAAAUUCGUAGAUAUUCGGAAGAACACCAGUGGCGAAGGCGACACACUGGCUCAUUACUGACGCUGAGGCGCGAAAGCGCGGGGAGCAAACAGGAUUAGAUACCCCAGUAGUCCCUGUCUCUUAUAC